rnacentral:rRNA from 1 species
GAUUAUGGCUCAGGAUGAACGCUGGCGGCGCGCUUAACACAUGCAAGUCGAACGGUUAAAGCACCUCCGGGUGUGCAUAAAGUGGCGAACGGCUGAGUAACACGUGGGCAACCUGCCCCCCGCACCGGGAUAGCCUCGGGAAACCGUGGGUAAUACCGGAUACUCCGCCACCCCCGCAUGGGGGAGGCGGGAAAGCGUACACGGCGGGGGAUGGGCCCGCGGCCUGUUAGCUCGUUGGCGGGGUAACGGCCCACCAAGGCGAUUAUGGGUAGCCGGGUUGAGAGACCGACCGGCCAGAUUGGGACUGAGACACGGCCCAGACUCCUACGGGAGGCAGCAGUGGGGAAUCUUGCACAAUGGGCGAAAGCCUGAUGCAGCCGACGCCGCGUGCGGGAAGAAGGCCCUCGGGUUGUAAACCGCUUUCAGCAGGGACGAGGCGCAAGUGACGGUACCUGCAGAAGAAGCCCCGGCUAACUACGUGCCAGCAGCUGC